rnacentral:rRNA from 1 species
AUACGAAGGGUGCUAGCGUUGUUCGGAAUCACUGGGCGUAAAGCGCACGUAGGCGGUCCGCACCAGUCAGGCGUGAAAGCCCCAGGCUCAACCUGGGAAUUGCGCUUGAUACUAGCGGGCUAGAGUCCGGGAGAGGGUAGUGGAAUUCCCAGUGUAGAGGUGAAAUUCGUAGAUAUUGGGAAGAACACCAGUGGCGAAGGCGGCUACCUGGACCGGUACUGACGCUGAGGUGCGAAAGCGUGGGGAGC